rnacentral:rRNA from 1 species
GGUUAAGCGACUAAGCGUACACGGUGGAUGCCCUGGCAGUCAGAGGCGAUGAAGGACGUGCUAAUCUGCGAUAAGCGUCGGUAAGGUGAUAUGAACCGUUAUAACCGGCGAUUUCCGAAUGGGGAAACCCAGUGUGUUUCGACACACUAUCAUUAACUGAAUCCAUAGGUUAAUGAGGCGAACCGGGGGAACUGAAACAUCUAAGUACCCCGAGGAAAAGAAAUCAACCGAGAUUCCCCCAGUAGCGGCGAGCGAACGGGGAGCAGCCCAGAGCCUGAAUCAGUGUGUGUGUUAGUGGAAGCGUCUGGAAAGGCGCGCGAUACAGGGUGACAGCCCCGUACACAAAAAUGCACAUGCUGUGAGCUCGAUGAGUAGGGCGGGACACGUGGUAUCCUGUCUGAAUAUGGGGGGACCAUCCUCCAAGGCUAAAUACUCCUGACUGACCGAUAGUGAACCAGUACCGUGAGGAAAGGCGAAAAGAACCCCGGCGAGGGGAGUGAAAAAGAACCUGAAACCGUGUACGUACAAGCAGUGGGAGCACGCUUCGGCGUGUGACUGCGUACCUUUUGUAUAAUGGGUCAGCGACUUAUAUUCUGUAGCAAGGUUAACCGAAUAGGGCCGAAGGGAAACCGAGUCUUAACUGGGCGUUAAGUUGCAGGGUAUAGACCCGAAACCCGGUGAUCUAGCCAUGGGCAGGUUGAAGGUUGGGUAACACUAACUGGAGGACCGAACCGACUAAUGUUGAAAAAUUAGCGGAUGACUUGUGGCUGGGGUGAAAGGCCAAUCAAACCGGGAGAUAGCUGGUUCUCCCCGAAAGCUAUUUAGGUAGCGCCUCGUGAAUUCAUCUCCGGGGGUAGAGCACUGUUUCGGCAAGGGGGUCAUCCCGACUUACCAACCCGAUGCAAACUGCGAAUACCGGAGAAUGUUAUCACGGGAGACACACGGCGGGUGCUAACGUCCGUCGUGAAGAGGGAAACAACCCAGACCGCCAGCUAAGGUCCCAAAGUCAUGGUUAAGUGGGAAACGAUGUGGGAAGGCCCAGACAGCCAGGAUGUUGGCUUAGAAGCAGCCAUCAUUUAAAGAAAGCGUAAUAGCUCACUGGUCGAGUCGGCCUGCGCGGAAGAUGUAACGGGGCUAAACCAUGCACCGAAGCUGCGGCAGCGACACUAUGUGUUGUUGGGUAGGGGAGCGUUCUGUAAGCCUGUGAAGGUGUGCUGUGAGGCAUGCUGGAGGUAUCAGAAGUGCGAAUGCUGACAUAAGUAACGAUAAAGCGGGUGAAAAGCCCGCUCGCCGGAAGACCAAGGGUUCCUGUCCAACGUUAAUCGGGGCAGGGUGAGUCGACCCCUAAGGCGAGGCCGAAAGGCGUAGUCGAUGGGAAACAGGUUAAUAUUCCUGUACUUGGUGUUACUGCGAAGGGGGGACGGAGAAGGCUAUGUUGGCCGGGCGACGGUUGUCCCGGUUUAAGCGUGUAGGCUGGUUUUCCAGGCAAAUCCGGAAAAUCAAGGCUGAGGCGUGAUGACGAGGCACUACGGUGCUGAAGCAACAAAUGCCCUGCUUCCAGGAAAAGCCUCUAAGCAUCAGGUAACAUCAAAUCGUACCCCAAACCGACACAGGUGGUCAGGUAGAGAAUACCAAGGCGCUUGAGAGAACUCGGGUGAAGGAACUAGGCAAAAUGGUGCCGUAACUUCGGGAGAAGGCACGCUGAUAUGUAGGUGAAGUCCCUCGCGGAUGGAGCUGAAAUCAGUCGAAGAUACCAGCUGGCUGCAACUGUUUAUUAAAAACACAGCACUGUGCAAACACGAAAGUGGACGUAUACGGUGUGACGCCUGCCCGGUGCCGGAAGGUUAAUUGAUGGGGUCAGCGCAAGCGAAGCUCUUGAUCGAAGCCCCGGUAAACGGCGGCCGUAACUAUAACGGUCCUAAGGUAGCGAAAUUCCUUGUCGGGUAAGUUCCGACCUGCACGAAUGGCGUAAUGAUGGCCAGGCUGUCUCCACCCGAGACUCAGUGAAAUUGAACUCGCUGUGAAGAUGCAGUGUACCCGCGGCAAGACGGAAAGACCCCGUGAACCUUUACUAUAGCUUGACACUGAACAUUGAGCCUUGAUGUGUAGGAUAGGUGGGAGGCUUUGAAGUGUGACGCCAGUCUGCAUGGAGCCGACCUUGAAAUACCACCCUUUAAUGUUUGAUGUUCUAACGUUGACCCGUAAUCCGGGUUGCGGACAGUGUCUGGUGGGUAGUUUGACUGGGGCGGUCUCCUCCUAAAGAGUAACGGAGGAGCACGAAGGUUGGCUAAUCCUGGUCGGACAUCAGGAGGUUAGUGCAAUGGCAUAAGCCAGCUUGACUGCGAGCGUGACGGCGCGAGCAGGUGCGAAAGCAGGUCAUAGUGAUCCGGUGGUUCUGAAUGGAAGGGCCAUCGCUCAACGGAUAAAAGGUACUCCGGGGAUAACAGGCUGAUACCGCCCAAGAGUUCAUAUCGACGGCGGUGUUUGGCACCUCGAUGUCGGCUCAUCACAUCCUGGGGCUGAAGUAGGUCCCAAGGGUAUGGCUGUUCGCCAUUUAAAGUGGUACGCGAGCUGGGUUUAGAACGUCGUGAGACAGUUCGGUCCCUAUCUGCCGUGGGCGCUGGAGAACUGAGGGGGGCUGCUCCUAGUACGAGAGGACCGGAGUGGACGCAUCACUGGUGUUCGGGUUGUCAUGCCAAUGGCACUGCCCGGUAGCUAAAUGCGGAAGAGAUAAGUGCUGAAAGCAUCUAAGCACGAAACUUGCCCCGAGAUGAGUUCUCCCUGACCCUUUAAGGGUCCUGAAGGAACGUUGAAGACGACGACGUUGAUAGGCCGGGUGUGUAAGCGCAGCGAUGCGUUGAGCUAACCGGUACUAAUGAACCGUGAGGCUUAACCUU